AAAAUCUUAGUUUAUUUUUUUAGAAUAUAGAAUUGUAAAUUCUAUGGAUUUGAUU
rnacentral:tRNA from 1 species